CAACUCAUCUUUAUAUCCUCAGCACCUAGCCCAGUGCCAGAUAUAUGGUAAAUAUUCAUGCUUAUUGAGCUGAAAAAGAAUAGCUCGCAUUCAUAUACUAUUUUGUAAAAAUCGUUACACUAAUCAAUGGCUCUACUUAGUUCUUCAUUCUUCAAAUAUUUUUCAGAUGACCACGCUUAAUGCUGAUGAUGCAGAAAGACAAGACAGAAUGGCUCUUCUCUGGCAGUUGUUUAACGGUGGGUUGGAGUGAAUGGGGCUGGUGCAUAAAUGGAGGGUAAAACUGGACACUUGGGACCCAGCGUAUCCAGGCGAGAGAGCAUGAGCUCCUGGUGUAAAACAGGGGCAACUGGAAGAAAGAGGAAGGGAUGAAUUCAAGAGAGAACUAGGAUAUGGAAAUAGUGAGAAACAGGAGAGCAAGGUGUCUCCCAUGACUCCCCGGUUUCUGUCUGAGAAGACGUGGGAGGAGCAGAAUUUCUCAUCAGCUCAUCUGAUCCUAACAUUCCUCAACAUCACAAAAUACAACCCCUUCCUUUAAGGGAUGCAGACACUGAGGCUGAGAGGGAACAGAUCAACUGCUCCAAGCCUCAUAAAUCAGGAGCUGGCAGAGCUGGUAUCAGAAUCGCAGGCCAUACCGUCUGGCUACGAUGCCCUCUCUUCAGCUUCCAUUAUGCAGCCUGGCAAACCCCCUGGGCAGUGAGGAGUGAGGAAGGGCCUUGGAGCAUCCCUGUGACUUCUCUAUGGUGUCACCUCACUCCCUUGAGUGGUCAGAUAGCAAACCAGCCUGUCGCCCUAUCUGGAUGUACAACUGAACUUCAUAAACGACCCAGGAGUCAUUCACUUCCUUUCCAAGAAGCUACAGAGAGUGAAGCAGAUUUGCUGUGCUUUCAGUUGGUUGUCCUAGAUGGGAAAAGGAGGGACAUUUAUUUGCAGUCAGAGAGGGAGAAUGUUAAUUGGUAAAAACGAAAGUACAUUUUCCCCCAAAGUGUGAGGUCAUCCUCUUCCUAUUUUUAAUUCAGAAGUGCCCUACAUGGAAUCAGUGUUCCCUUUCAAGUAAAUGACAACAUUUGACUUGUUGUCCUUUAAAGCCUGCCCACCCAUCCCCUUCCUGCUCUCUCUGCUGACCACAGUUAUUAACCCCGGCAGCAUGAAUCAAGGAAUUCUAGCAACCUGAGCCCUCUCUGUAACCUGGCAGUUGUCCAGCAACUGGUAAGGAGAGAACUGCUUUCUCUUUCUUGCUCUGAGAUGGACCUGGAAGCGGGAACCAGGAACCAGGAACCCAAACCCACCUCUGGUCUCCCACAUCAUUUUCCAAGUCCCUCUUUGUCUGCCUCUCAGCUCUCAUUGUCUUGACUGUCUUAACAUGGCCCCUAAGUUGAGGUGACCCACAGACUGCUAACCUGUCUUCGAGGGCACCUGUUCACGUAGCUCGACCUUUGCCUGGGUCUCAGUUUCUGAUUUUUUUUUUUCUUUUUUGACAAUGCUGCUGCCCCCAGACCAGCUGGGCUCACGUUUAAUUCAUCUCAGGGCUAAUUCUAGCCAGGUUAGGGAAGGGGCAUGGCAACCUUGGCCUCCCACCCCAGGCCUUCCUGCUGUCACGGUGACUAAGGAAUGGUGGGGGACAAUGGUUUGUGUCCCCCUCCCUGCCCCAAGCUCAGGGCAGUCAUGCCAGCCUCCAGCACCUGUUCCCAAAGAGCAUCCUCAUAGGACACACUAAUGGCAGAAACACAGGUACGAGGCCAGUGGGAAAGAGGCAUGGAGAUGCCUUGCAAGCAGGCAAGGAGAAACAUGCAAGCAUCAGGAUGCUCCUUUCCCUCACUUGCAAGGGUCAGGAUUGAUCCUAAUACCUGGUAUAUGCCGGUUAUUCCACUAUCUUCCAGGUGGGCACACCAAGACUGACGUCCCACAGCAGAGAGGUCCAGUGCCUCUGAGUCUUCGCUCCUGCUGUUCCCUCCGUGUGACUUGUGCUGCCUUCUUAUCAUCACCUCAGUUUCUGAAUUCUUAUCUAAGCCCUCCAGGACACUUAUUUUUCUAGCACCUCCCCCCACUCCCUGUCUUGCAGGACUGCCCUCCCGUUAACCACUUAGCACAGUGGCAGAGUGGUUACCAGGUGAUUCAAGUGGAAUUUAGAGCUCUGCAAAACACAAGUGCUCAACAUGUGUCAGGUCUUUUGACUCCUGCUUGACUCUGAGCCUUGCUCAUCCUGGAGGUUUACUUCAUGCACCAUUUGGGACAUCUUCAAACUGGGGUUUCAGGCAGCCCUCGCCAUCCUAGAAUGAGUCUCGGAUGGGGGGCUAAAUCUGAGGUCGGCUGGGCUCUGACCCAACACCUGACUUAGUCCAGUGGGAGGGUAGUUCUAAGGCCAGGCCUCGGCCCCUACCCCCACCCUAGCCAAGUUCAGCUGUGAUUUGAGAAUCAUGACUUCCUGGGUCUCAAGGGGAUGGCAAUCAGAUCUUUGCCAGAUGGCGAGGCAGCUGGAUGCUACUUUUGCAUAAAAUCACUACAGAGUCUGUAACCAUUAGAACUACCAUUUUCAUGGAAGCCAGCUCAACCUUGUUAAUUGAGCAAAUUUGGAGCAGCUCCAAACAUCCAUCCAGUUGAUGAAAUUGGUGCUCUCCAAGCAUGCCACAUCAUUUUGAGUCCAAAUUCAAAGUUUAAUCUCCAUUGGUGGUGUCCUGAGAAUUGUCGUCCUGAGCAUUGGGAGACGGCACAGGAAAUAUCGACGGUCACCCCUUCAUCAUCAGAUUGUGAUUUCUGAACUAACAUUCCUGGCCAGAAAAAGUUGGAAGAGGCUAAAACUGUCUCUUAGCUCACAUUUUUUUUGCAAUUUAAAAUCAAUGAUAUAAUUAGAUUUCCGUAUCCUACUGCUUAAUCCUUUGUUUAGAUUCCAUGCUUUCAAUUAUUCGUAUCACCUUGGGUUUCCAGUUUGGGCAAUUAAGAGUUGCCACCUUGCACAGGAGACUCCCGAUGUCCCUGGUGGAAGGUCACGGUGAUGUCUAGCAGCCUAGGCUGGUCCCACUCCACUGGCUUCCAGAGCUCUGCUUGCCCUUGGGUGUUUGCUGUCGGCUGGGCUGUGUUGCAUAAGGUCAGAGCCUGGAGCUGCCACAUCCACAGCUCUGUCCCCAGCACUGACUCAGUGCCUGGCACUCAGAAACUGCAGAAUAGAUAUUUAUUGAGUGAAUGCCUCGAGAGCAAUCAGCGGCUGUGUAAUGGAGUUCUUUGUCCUUUUCUACAGCAAGUGGAUCUCAAAGGUCAGGAAUGAGAAGAUGAAAACGGAAUUGAAGCAGAUUAAAUCAAGGCACAACAUUGUCACCCAUGGUACAUGUACAUCUGCACCCAGGGUUCUGCUCAGAGAACCCUCACAGAGCUUCUUUCUCUCUGCGCCACCUUUUUAAAAUCUUUAUUUAUUUAUGGGGAGGGGGGGCAGAGAGACAAAGGGGGAGACCCAGAAUCCAAAGCAGGCUCCAGGCUCUGAGCUGUCAACACAGAGCCUGAUGCAGGGCUUAAACUCAUGAACCUCGAGAUCAUGACCUGAGCCAAAGUCGGCCACUUGACCAACCGAGCCACCCAGGUGCCCCUCUCUCUGCUUUUAAAAGAAAACUGGACAGUCUCCUGCAGUUCCAAAGUAGAGUGGAAAAAAAAAAAAAAAAGCAGUGGAGAGAGGGGAGUUCAGAAGGAAAAGUCCAAACACCCUCUUCCCUAUAGUAAUAUUAAAAACAGUAAAAACAAUAAGGUUAAAUUGUAUUCAAGCACUUUCCAUGUGUCAGCAACUGUACUGUACAUUUAUUAUUUUAUUAAUCUUCGCAACAAGCUUAUGAGACAGAUAUUAUUAUCAUGCCUAUUUGUGGAUGAAAAAUAGGAGCUUGAAGAAUUUAAAUAAUUUGCUGAAGCUGGUAGUUAGGGAAGCUGGAAUCCACCCCAGGUUUGUCUGAGUUUAGCCACAGCCACAUAAGUGUUGUGUCUUUGUUCUUUGCUGGUUUCAGUAUUUAAGAACAAGGUGCAAGUCUCAUGAGUUGUUUCACUCAGAACACCUGGCUCAGGGUCAUGCAUAUCAUGUGGAGAUAAUAAAUAUUUGUUGAUUUGGAAGUAGAGAUAGUCAAAAGGCACUAGGAUAGGGUUAUCACACUUGAAAAUAAGCACACAUGAAAGGAAAUUCCAAAGCCAACUAAGGGAAAGCAGAGUGGUAAGUGGUCUUGCAGCUCACAAAAGACACAAUGUAUCAUUAAAGGUGUUUGGCAUUCUUAGCAUUAAGUCAAAAGAGCAUUUUAAAGUGGCUCCAACGUCUCCCUGCUUAAGUUUUUCUUUCCAUUGGUUGUAUGGACUGAAUUGUGUCCCCCUGAAAUUUAUAUGUUGAAGUCUCACCCUCAACGUGACUCUAUUUGCAAACGGAGAAUUCAGGGAGGUAAUUCAGGUUCAGUAAGAUAGAAGGGUGGGACCCUAAUGCAAUAAGAAGAGGAAAUACACCUCUCUCUCUCUCUCUUUUUAGAUUGCUUCUUAAACUGCUUUAUUACCUUUACAGCAUGUAAUAAACAUCUUUUCCUGCAAGUUGAUGAAACUUCCCUGACAGAAAAACUUCCAGAGUAAGGCAAAAUGGAAUCUCUAAUCAGAAAAAUGACAUAACACCAUAGGUUCACAUCAAGAAAAUGCAACUUCGGGAAGCAGGGGGGUUAUUAUUACUAAUCUCAGCAUUGGAGGCAUAAGGCAAAACUCAUCAUGAUGGUCACGGUGAGGGGGAUCCCCUAUAAGAAUGGGCAAACUGUACCACAACUGAAGCUCCCUGAUUUCCUCCUUAGCCGCCUCAUGUCAUCCGUGAAAAGUUCCGUAUCAUCUGUGUCUCCAUCUGUCAUGUCAACGUUAUUGACAAGCUUGUUGGGCAUAUCCUCUCUACCAUCAUGGACAGGUGGGGCCAAAUCCACUCUAAUAUUUCCUCCAGGCUCCUGGCCUUCACCACCUCCCAAAGGGUGGGCUUCUUCUUCAUUCUGCACUGGAGCCUGCCUUUCUCCUUCUCUUUCCCGGAGGACAUUUUCCAUGUUGAAACUUUUUUCCUGCUUACUUUUCCUGCAGGGAUCCAACAGAGUCUUUCUCUCUUAGCCUUGAAAUCUGCUGUGCCAAUGGACCUGAAUUUCUUGAACGCAAAUGGAUGACUUGCUGGGCGGGGGAGUCAAAACCACUUGCUGGAUGGUGACGUGGUUUCUUUAUAAGGAAUUUCAACAUGGCUGGGACCCAACAGCUCACCCUCCUUUCUCUGCCCACCAUUUUUAUCAACACCUCUCUUUUUCUCUCUGCUUAAACACAGAGAAGGACAUGUGAGGAGACAGUAAGAAGAUUGGUCAUCUACAAGAAAAAGCAAGCAAGGUCUCACCAGGAACUGAAUUUUCUAGCACCUUGAUUUUAGACUUUCAGCCUCCAGAAUGGUGACAGAAUACAUUUAUGUUGUUGAAGCCUCCCAGUCAGUGGUACUUAUUAUGACAGUCUAAGCAGACUAAUAUAACAGACCACCCUACAUUGUAUUAUCAGAAUUAUAUGCAUACAACAAUAAAUUCAUCUCAUGCUUUAAAAAUCUUC
rnacentral:lncRNA from 1 species